UUGGGAAACCUGAAGAGAACUUCAAAGAAGAGCAACUCUGGAAUUAUUCUAGAUUAAGGGUAGCUAUUAAAUUAUGAUUUAAACUGAUUUUAUUAGCUAUAGACUAGUUCCGCUAGCAUAACAUCAAGAGAUCCCCAAAACCACAAGAAAAACCAAGACUGCAACCACUAUCUGCCCAAUAGUCUCAGAAGUAUGAUCAUACUUCAAAUUAUAAAGUUAUGCUUUUUGAUGUUGAACAGAAUAUGUAGAUGAGAAUCGACUAUGUCUCAAAAGGAUAAUGCAUGACAAGACCAGACCUAUAAGAGGCCAAAAAGUUCCUGUCUUUCUUUCUCAAGUUUACGGUUAGACUGCCACUGCUUAUUUCUCAUAUAGAAGAGAACUUCAUUAUUGGAAGUUAAAGGUUUUUUCAGUGUACAAAAUUAGAAGUUGCAACGGCUGAGACAAAAAUUUCGUACUCCAGGGGAAAAGAGGUAGGCUAAAGUCCUUACCGCUAGACUUUCAGCAACAAGCUUGACACUUCGUAUGAUUGAGGCUUCACUGACAAAAUGUCUACACAGGAAACCAGGAGUUCAGCAAAUGGCCGUCAGAGAAGAUACAAAAAUAGAACAAAGAGGUAUUAGAAGCUAAGCCACAACCUGUUAUCAGCCAGAUGUCCUGUGCUUUCCAGUAAUUCAGGUGCAGCAGAAAGUUCAGAUAGUGUUGCUGCAGUGACUCUCAACCUUGAAAACUGUUCAUGCUCCCAGGCUACCUACACCAUUUAGCAGUUUUAGCACAGUAAAAAGACUAAACAUCGCAUACAAAAACAAUUAAACAAGUAAAGAUGGUAUAUCUGACUGCUUUAUUAACCAGUAAAAACAAGCUUAGUAGCUUAAACAGGGAAACUCUAGAGACUAUUCAGGUUUAAGUGGGAAAUGUAGUGUCUAGCUCUAGUCUAAAGAAAGUGACUGUCAAGAAAUAGUCAAUAAAAUAGCUUAGAACAAGCUCUCUAGCUGGCUUAUUUUACCCAAACGAACUGCGAUUGUCAAAAACUUAUACACAGAUUACAUGAGUAAAGGGCUUAACUUUUAUCCAUGACAAAAUUACAGAUUAAUGAUGCAUGCAAAAUUUUCGAAGGCUGCGGUUGGUCCAAAGGAUCGGCCCCAGACGGAUUUCUCGGUCAUCAAAAAAAAAAUGCAUUUGUAGUUACUAGGCAAUAUGGAAACAGGAAAAGGAUCUUCCGUUUCCUCAACUUCAUGCUACAUUCUUCAUCCAACUCCAAAGAUUUCCUAAAGCUACUUUGCAGAUUAGAUAAGGAAAGGACGGCUGAAAAAUUCAUUCUAUUCACUUUAUAUAAAAUCUUUUCCAAGUUUUCUGAAGGGGAAAAAGAGCAAUGAGUUUCCGCAGAGAACUGUUCGGAAUUAUAAGCCAAGGUGGGGAGAAGUAGGUAAAGGAGAGUGUUAUUUGAGAAUGACAGGGAUAAGCAUGUUGACUAGGGGUGAUCCAGUGUUGUGAAAAGCGCUCGCUUCAGCGCUUAAAGCGCGAAGCGAAGCGAGGAGGCCCCAUAGUCGCUUCUGUGUUGUGAAGCGUAGCAGGUGAUAUGAAGCGUGCGCUCCAGCCAAAAAAGCGAGAAAAGCGAUUGAAGCGAGAUGCGACAGUAGCGAGCGCUUCGCUAUAUUAAGUGGCUGCCAAUGUUAAUUAAAUUAAAAAAACUGUCUUUUUUCAAAACAUCAUCUGGCAGCAGAGAAACAGCAACUAGGUUUCCCAUUUUCAGCACUUUUCAAGUUCAAGUUCAUUAAGUUCAAGCCCAGGUAUGUGAUUUCUUCUUCCUCCUCCUUCUUCUUUUUCAUUUUCUUUCACUGUUUCAGUUUCAAACUAGCAGCGAAAUGCUGCCAAUUUUUUUUUUCCCUUCAGUUCUUCUUUUCUCAUUCUCUUCUUCUUCUUUUUCUUUCACUGUUUCAGUCUUAAAUUGCAGCGAAAUGCUGCCCAAUUUUUUUCUUACUUACUGCCUUCUUUUUCGUUUCAGUUCUUCUUAGUUCUUACUGCCUUUUUUUUGUUUCAAUAUUUAUUAUAUCUUUUAAAAAAUUCCACUUCACUUCAAAAAAGCGAGCGUUUCGCUUCUCGCUUCACGCUUUAAGCGAAAAGGGGCUUGUCGCUUUUCCUCGCUUCACGCUCUUUACAACACUGGGGUGAUCAUUUUGGAGCAGUGAAACGCGAUUAAAUAUUUCUUUCCAGAUUCUUCCAUCAAGGUUAAUUUAUUCAUGUAAAUGAUAAUACAUGGAGGGUGGUUAAAAAGGAGUAUGGAGAUGUCUCUCUUUGCAUAAGAUCAGAUGUGAAGGUUAUCUCCACUCUCGGGAAAAUGAUGCUGCAUAAGAAGCCUUUUGCUAUGUUUCUUUUACUUUCGCCUAGAAGUUCGAUUUCAACAUGGUAAAUCGAGCAUUUCACAUAGCUCAAACAAAUUAUUAGUCUCAAAGACAAAGAUGUUUUAGGGCAGGGGGGGGGGGGGGGGUAUGACCACUAAGUUACUAAACUCGCACAAAUAGCACCAGCCAAUCACCGAAUCUGCACAAAGCCAAGUGGGGGUAGGGGAAUGGCCACUAAGUUACUACAAUCGCACAAAUAGCAUUAGGAAAUCAUCACAUAUGCACAAAGCCAUGAAGUCAAUGAGAUCUGUGAUUGUGACCAAACUGCACAUUGAACACAAAUCUCAUUCUGGUAUUAUCAUGUUUGCAAGAAUAAUAACUGCUUCAAUCACACCUAAGGGCAGGCCUUGAGCCACAAUAACCAGUUUUAUUUUCUUUUUUCAAUACCAGCGUUUACAUUACCAUAAACAGUGACAAGGGUUUCAUUUCAAGUGAAAAAAUUGUUGAUGCCAUUAGAGACAAAAGCAGUAAGAACAAGUAUGGUCCAAAAUAAAUGGGUAUGCUUCUAGCUCUGGGUGAAAUAAGCAGUCUCCUCGUAUAUGUUUGUACAAAUGUUUAGGGCUGGAAAGAGAGUUGCAAAACCAUACUUCACAUAAGUAAAUGAAAGCUGUAUCACCACAACAGAAAGCAGCCAACAAAGCUUGAACUGCAGACAUAGCAGAAACAACAAAUUUAAACAUCAUUUCUAAUGUAAGAUUCUGAAGCUCUAACAUUGGUCUAGGGGUUUGAGAAUAACCAAUCAACAAUCCAUCAACCACAAACUAGUUGGUUAUAUGAAUCUACAUAUUAAUUCCACUCCAUACAGUACAUUCCACUCUCAGACCGUAUCUGGAGGAUUUAUCAUUGUUAGACAAUUUUCCGCUGACCUUUAGCCUACCACAAUUCUCCUCUUUUAUCCAGACUUAGAACGGAAUGUGAAUCUCAGAUAGGUGGAGUUCCAAGAGUGCGAGAACAGGGCAAGAAAACAAUACAUUAUGUCUGACCAUCUAAGCAGGGAUAUGCAUUUUUCUUUAAGCGGUAUAUGUACUUACUCGAGGAUUUGAGAUGUUUAUUUUCUUGUGCUUAAGACCAACUUGAAGGCCCAAUUCUUCUGCUACGGUAGAGAAACCCUGCAAAUAUCAGUUCUUCAGACAAGAAAGGGCAGCAGUAGAAGUGAUAAAAUAUAAAAUUCUCCUAGCUUUCUCCCUUAGACGCCAUUUGCAUACCUGGAAUAUCUGCUGUAUGUAGGCAUUUUCUGGAGGUUUGGAGACAUGAAGAUGUAACUCAUUGCCAAGGGACCCAACACUAUUCAAACAGAUAGCAUAGUCUAUACUCUCACGUAGACGCUGGUCAAAACUCCGAAGCCACUGAAGAAAGCUUACACAUUCAAAGGAUAGAACGAGACAGCUGCAACUUAAAAGGACAGGACAAAAAUUUUGGGAAGGAGUGGUGCACCUUCUGAGUUCCAUUGUAGUUAUACGGUCCACCAGAUGUCAAUCCAAAGAGUAAAUUAUAUCUACCUCUAGUUUUAGGAUUUGAAUAUAGAGCAGAAAACAACCUAGCAAUUUCAAGUAGUGCCACUACACCACUUCCAUUACUAUCACUUCCCACUGACAAUGUCUGUAAAUUCAAUGAUAAAAAGUGAUUAAGGUCAUUUAUUAUAACAGCUCAAAACUUAAUAGAGAGAGUCAUAACUUACUGGUGCAGCCCCAAAUGUGUCAUAUGAAGCCACUAUGGCAAUAGUUGGGAGUUGAUUUGAGUCUCCAUCAACUUUAAGUCCUGGUAACCAUCCCUGACAUUUAACAAGUACUGAUAAAUGAACUUUCAAACAACAUUCUACUUCAUUGAUUAAUUAAAGUAGCUGUAAACCCAUGCCCUGCCCAUUAUUUUUAGAAAUUAGUCUGUAUAAUUCUUAGUCUUAUAUAAUUCAAGAAGGAGGAGAUACAAUAGGAUUAUGGUAAUAUAAAACAGAAAACAUUUUGGGUUAGUACAAUAAGGAAAUGCAUCCAUAGAGACUGAAAAUGAUUUCAUUACCAAAAUAGGAAAAACGGAAUUCAAUGUAUUAAGCUUUGAUUUGAGUGACUAUUAUAAGUAAACAAAAGAGUUCAAUGUACUGAAUUGACUUGCUUGACUAUAUUAUAAGGAAAGCAAUGUAUAGAAACAAAUAAAUUUGAGUACAUAGAGAUUCAUAGAAAAUGCAUCCAACAACAACCACGCCUUAGUCCCAAAUAAGUUGGGUCGGCAUGAAUGCAUUCAUCUAUACUUAAAAUGAUUGAACUACUAAAAUAAGAAAGGCCAAAUAAUUGAAUGUACAAAGCUGAUAUGAUUGACUACUAUAAGGAAGCAAAAAGAGUUACAUGCACUCAAUUGAUUUGCUUGACUAUUAUAUGGAAAUCAAAGUAAAGAAAACAGAAUCCUAAGUACAUAGAGAUUCAUAAAAAUCGGAAAAAAAAACUGAGUGUACAAAAUAAAGAACCAUAACAAUUAUGAAAAAGAAAUUAAAGCCAAGACCAUAUGUAGCUCCCAUGAAAGCUCACAGCAGCUACGCCUCAAUCUCAAGCAAUUGGGUUCGGCUAUACGAAUCCUCAUUGACCAUGUCGCUCAAUUUAAGCAGUAGUGAGCUGAGAGAUGUCAAAUCAAAUUUGAAAUGACCUGAUGUUAUAGUAAUAUGCAUUGAUUUGAGCGAUAUAAACUUGUUAUUUAAAAAAAACAGGUCGAUUUUUUUAAGACGGACGAGAAAGGUUGUAUGUCAAGCAUCUAACACCGUAGGCAAUUAAGUCAAGUCAAUAUUCCUAAAACAAACAUCAAUUUAAGAGUCGUAGUAAAUCCAACUGCUCCUAUUUAAAAAACGAGGAGGUGAACAGCUGCGAACUAGAACCUGAAUAUUUGCAAUGUUGGGGGACGCAAUUCUCUUAGGAUCUGAGGCAGCAACAACAAGCUUGUAGCUGUAGACAUGUGAUUAACUGAAUCAUUAACAAGAUAUUUAUCACGAAAAAGAAAUAAGUUGAACCUUCGUCAACACGACAUCAAACAAGUUUGCACAUUCAUAUUGACAUCCAAUCUCAGAAAGGAUACCUCAAAUACCAAAACUUGUGCUGCCCCAUUUUUCCCAUGUUGGGGCAUCACAAAUAUUUGAUACAGUCAAACAAAUAAUAAUUUAUGGACCCACUCAAGUUUUUGCAAGAAUUUAGAUACAGCAAAAAGUACACAUCAAGUUGGUGUUUUCUCUACCAUAACAAGACUGCAUACAUUCUUCAGUAUUUACUUAAAUUCUACUAUACAAAUAAUAUGCAAGUCAUGAAGUCAAACCAGAGCAUGUAUCCAUGCUCAACAAUCGUGUUGCACGAAAUUAUAGGACCCUCCUUUUCCUUUUUCACUUUCAUUUUUUUAACAUUUUGGUGAACGAGCUCAUUACCAACAGAGUCAAGUCAGGUAGUAAGCCAAACUUUUUUCUCAAAUUAACACUUACAUUGACCAAGAAAAUACCAAAUGGGAUUAGAUCAAGAAUAAAAUUUAAUGGAAUCAUUUAACUAUAUGAUAAUGAUUAAAGAUGGCUUAAAAUUCACAAGCACUUUUUUCAGAUGAAGUAAGUGGUUUCAUUAACGGCAUCAAGUAGAUGCAAAUAGUACAAAAGAUAGUAAGAACAAAAAUGAGCUUGUUAGCUCCAUUACAAUGUGCCCAAUUCACAAGCACUUUUACAGUAGACAGAAAUUUGUCCAGACUAUGUAAAAUAUCUCUACGACACAUUCUAAUCUUUUUAAUGUUUUAGCAUACAUACACCAAACAAAAGAGGCAACUCUUCUCUCGAAAACAAAAAAUGAGAUUCCAACUCACCCGCCUGUGGUAGCUGUUGCAGGUUGACCACUAGCAUCGUUUCUCUUAACUUCAGCUAGUACAGCAUUGAUAUUGUCAUCCUCGAAAGCAAAAUAUACAGGAUACUGCACCAGAAUUUCAAAAGGUUGAAAAUUCACUAUUUUGUUAACGAUAAAAAAUUGAAAAAAUUCAAGAUGAAGGAUAUCCACAUAAAUUAGAACUAUUCAAACAACAGAAGUAAGGGAAUGGGAGUAGCCUCCUUGAACAAAAGAUAGGUGGUAAAAACUAUUUCAAGGCAAAAGAGACUAUAAUUUCUCUAUCUUUGGGAGAGGACUUAUUACCAAAUUUAAUGUGAACUAGACACACUCAUAGUUAACAUGCCAAAUAGUAAGUAAAAUAUUUCAAUUUGCUCUUCAUCACUCUGAGGAAGGAUGAACCAGUAUGCCAACAACAGAAAGGUUGGACUUAAGGGCUGCCACAUUACAUAAUAUUCCUUGUUUGUUCUCAUCUCUAGCCAGAAACAGAAGCUUCAAGCGCAAUUUUUAAAAGAAACACAAAAGACAUUUCCCUCUAUUCCCCUCUGAAACACAGUCUACAGACAUCUCCACCCCUCCUUGAUUGAACUCUUCUCUUUCAUAGAAACUAACAGAAACAAUGUUUCAGCAUUUUCUGCUACCAACUAAGGAAUCACAGCCAUGACUUGUUUGGUCUAGAUUAUAUAGAUUGCCAUUGAUUAUUCGAAAAAAGUGAUUGCAGGAAACAAAUUGUCAUUUACGAAUUAUUUGCUUUGUUACACUAAUAGCUGGUUACUAGUUCAUGAGAUUUAGUUAUCCAUCCAGUAACCAAACAUCAAGCUUUUGAUAAGAGUAACCAAACGUCAAGUAUGACUAUAAAAAUGAUUUAAUAAAAAGUUCAAACUAAUUAAGGUAAAAUAAUCACGCCCAAGUAGCACUAGACAAAUAUAACUCAUGGUACAUGAUGAAGGAUGUCCUACGCAUAACAUGCAUUGUGCCGCAUAGAUAUGCCAAAAGGACAAAAAAGCAUGGAUGAUUCAUUGCACUCACAGGGAUAUUAGAAUGCGUAAGCAACCGUUCCAACUCAGCCAAUUUGCUCAUCAGGCUGUUAAUACCCUCAUCAGCACCAAAUGCGUUGUCUAGAUUUUCUGGACUAAGUUUGGGGGGGAGUAAAAGCAGUAGACCCCCUAAUAGCUUUUUCUGUUCAAUAUAUUCUGAAUAAGAGCCAAUAGAAGGACAAGCCCAUCAGAAGAGACAAUCUAAAUAUGUAUUACAUGAGGAACAGAGAGUUGUACUAUAACAUGAUCAGCACAAUCAAGGUUAGUAAUGUUUCGAGCAAGGAACAGCUAGAAAGUAAUAAAAUGUGUUUUUAUUUGUUAUAAGAAAAUACCACCAUAAGAAAUAUGGUCAGAUUAAAGAUCUUAAUCUUCUAUUACUAGAAAAACUAAUUUCUAAUAAUAUUGGACUGAGACGAGAUUAAAUAGAGCAACAUGGACGGUAAGAAUUCAUAUAGCUAACCUAAACUUGUCUAGAAUUGCAGUGUUGUUGUUGUUGUAGUAAGUAACUCUUUUGUAGAUUUUUUGGAAUUGAAUCAUGACCAAGCCUCAAUGAGUGAAGGUCGUUAACAAAUGUGCUGAAUUCAUUCUAACAUGGUUACUUUGGUGAAGAGAAGAACAAUAAUCUUCUCGGUCAGUUUGUGAGGCCUUAAACAAACUUAUCCACUAUGUUUAUACCUUCUUCUCUAUCCAGCCUCUCUGCCCCGCCCCCCUCCACCCCAAAUUACUAGCUUCCCUUUUCUCCUCUCAUUCACAUGGCCUUACUCUAUCUUCAAAACAGCUUACUCAUAAGCAUUGUGCAAGAAGAUCCUGAAGAGGAUAGAUCGGCAUUUGUUGGCGACAUAUCUUUUUGUUAUACCGAUGUUGCACUUUCACUAUUAGUUCACAAAACCAACACUAGCUUUGCUAUCUAAUCAUCACCCUGCGUCACAUUUUAUCAGGGUUAUGCAUUGCAAAUUAUUAGAGAAUCUUUGAGAAGACAGAACGAGAAAUCACAAACAGCUCAGGUCUUCAAAAUGGUGUAUGCUGAAACUGUCCAUGCUAUUUGGUUAAAGAGAAAUCAGAGAAUCUUUGAGAAGAGGGGAAGAGAUUGGGAAAGCAUUGCUAGAACUGGUGCCUAUGUGUGCAAUACCGGGGCAUCUGCUGGAGUUAGAAGUUUGUUACAGUCUUUCUUCUUUUAGUUGGUUAGUUUAGGAGCUGUUAGGUUCCUAUUCUUAGUGUUCUAUCAGUAAUUACAGAACAGAUAGAAGAGACACUCUCUAAUAGGUGUGCUUCCGGUUCUCUUAAUAAGUAUAUAGAGUUCUUAAUUUGUUGGUUGGUUUUUUUGGGACAGCUAGCUGAGGUAGCUAAAUCUCUGGUUUUGUAAUUGCUACUUUGGUGAUAAAUAAAAUAGUUUGAUUACCCCCCAAACUUCUUAGCUCAACCAUGGUCAGCAAGUGUCUCAAUCAUUUUAGUGAUCCAAUGUCUAAUCUUUGAACCAAUCCUGUUUAGUUUUAGAGCUUGAAAAAAAAUAUAUCAAUCCACUACAUCUCAAUCUCAGACGAGUUGGUCAAUAAUAGGAAUUCUCUAUAUACUUUGAUCUAUUCUGGUUGAUAUUCUUUUCUUCUUUUGUAAUAACCGAGAAAUCAUCGAGGGCUCUAUUUUGGUCCAUUUUAUCCCAACACUUGCAAGUAACUCGUCACUUAAGGCAAAGAGUUUCUUUCGCUCUUAUCUCUACCAGAUCUAAAGUGUCGCAACAACGGAGCUUUAACCCCGACUAGUUGGGAUUGGCGAAUGACUUGCCAUGCUUUCUGGGCUUGACUCUUGUGGGAUGUGCUCAGCCGCCUCCAACUCUUUCUGUGGGUUAGACAACUUUGUUAGGUCAGCAAACAGCAGUAGAGAUCAAUUAAUCGAACUCUUGAAGACAAGGAAAGCACUGAUUCACAAAGGAGUCCGGCAUCGGGGCCAUUUCUCUAGAGGGGUUUUUUCUGUUAGGUUAGAGCUUGCAGGUCCAUUCUCUCUUGCUAAGAAGAGAAGUCUACCUUUCUCUAUACUAGAGCACAGGGGGAAUCAAAUUUAAAAAUCAAUAUAUGAACAAGAGAGUAACAGGGUAAUAAAAAGUAAAUCAAUCGAAUAGCUAGUCCUUCCUUUCUUUCUCCUUCCUCAUUUCAGGUUUUAGAGGAGUUAAUUUCGCGCAGGGCACCUGUAUAAAUUUUUCCUUUCUUUUAUGGCUUGCUGUAAGACUGUGGGAUCCAAAUGUAAAUGGGUAUACACAGUGAAAUUCCAGCCAAAUGGGGAUCAGACAUAUGAGCUCUUUAUAUAUUCAAUUCUAUUCAAGUCUAUUUCAUUCCAGUUCAAUAUAGAAACUUCUAAACCUAGAUAUUCUCUAAAUCUCACAUUUGUACCUAAUAGACUUUUUUCCAUCCCUACUAGAUUUAGUGUAAGUAUAACAACAAACUAUGCUUUAACCCCAACUGUUUGGAGUCACCUAGUUCAUAGGCGUAUCCAGGAUUUCACGAGAAUGGGUGCACCCAGGGCGAAGCUAUGUACGACGAACUGACCAUCGUUCGCCGAAAAAUUAUACUAUGUAUAGGGUAAACUAUUACUAGUUUUUUAAAAAAAAAAUAGACUUUGAACACCCUUGCAUAACCCACUGGAAAAGGAUGUUAAACAUUUGAACACCAUUAUUGAAUUUUCUGGCUUCAUGAACGUUAUUAUUUUUCAACCCAACUUCAUAAAUCAAAGAAAAAAGAUAAAGAAACAAAAGAAGAAGUGAGAUUGAUAAAGAAACUGGAAAAAUAUGUGACUUUUGAUGGUAGAAAAGUUGGUAUUUUGCUGAUUUGCAGAAGACUUAGAGCGCCAGAGAGUUUUGUGUGGAGAGGUAUUUUUAAUUUAAGGGAUUUUGAAAGUAUAACUGAAAGACUAAGAAGCAGUUAUGUAGUAAUAAAAAGAGGAAAAGAAAAAAAGAACGUGUGUGCUAAAGAGCAUGGGAAACUUUAAACUGCGGGCCCAGGAGCAUGGGUAUGUAGCCAAUUUAUUAAUUAAAAAGUGAAAUAAUGGAUAACUUUAAAAAGGGUAUUGCGGGGAUUCGAACCACCUACCCGAUGGAUGGAAGGUGCACUUCUCUACCAGUGCAUUACAAUGUUCACUUGAGUAUGGGUUCACCCAUACAAAUUCAAGUAUUUUGUGCUGAAAUUUACUGGUGCUAUACAAGGUUUAGGGAAAGGAGGAUGGGUUCACGUGAACCACCCCCUCCCAUGUAAAUCCGCCCCUGACCUAGUUGAACGAACAAUAUCCUAAACAACAAUGGAAUUUUGAAGUAUGUCAUUCCAAUACUGCUAAAUAACUUGUCUUUUAAGGCAAAUAGAUACUCCGUUAAGACUAUAAGUUCUCUAAAUCACACAUGUAUUCCUACUUCGACCUAAUAUAAGAAUUACAACAAGCUAAUCUUAGUCCGAACUAAUAGGUGACGUUGAGAAACGUAUACGGACAAUAUUGAAAUUUCAAUGCAGUAAGUCAUUCCAAAAAUGUCUCUUAAGGUAAACUAGAAACUCUCUAAAUUUUCAAAUCUCAUACUUAUUGCUACAAGGACCUAAUGUUAGUGUAACAACAAACUAGUUAAAAAAGAAGUAAAAAAUCAAGAUAAAAAUAUAAUUUGAUGGCAGUAAAUUAAAAACUACAUCUCUAUUGAGAGUGAGGUUUCCGGAAAUUCACAGUUGUCCCUGCCCGAACCUAAUGUAAGUAGAACAACAAAUCCAGCUUUAAUCCCAACUAAUUAGUUUCACCUUGUUGAAAAAGCAAAUAUUCCAGCAGACAACAAUGAAAUUCUAAAACAUUCAAUCAUUCUAGUACUCGCAAGUACUGUGUUUUAAAAGUGAAAACAAGAGCGACAAGGUCCAUAAUAUUUAAAGAAAAAGUGAAAAGUCAAGCAUGCUAUUCAUGGAAAAUUAAAGAAUGCCAGACAUGUAUGAAUUUAGUACAAUAAUGAUCAAACGUAAUUAAAAUAACUAAUUCAGCAUUCGAUAUACAAAAAUGUUAAUAUUAAUCCAACUCGUCAACGUUGAGAUUCAAAGAACCACUACUUUUCUUUUAUAUAACUUUCCACGUCAAACAUUGAUGUGCACACUUUGAAGUGCAUGGCUUCGCCCAUAAAGUGAUAACCUCUUGCGUAGCAUCGGUUUAAGUGAUAGAGCAAUGACUUUUAAUAACAGUACAUGAGUAACUUGUCAUUUAAGGCAAAUCAGAGACUCCCUAAAGUUAUAGGUUUCCUUCGCAUGCUUAUCCCUACCACACACAUAACGUAAGUAACGGAUUAAGCAUGGUAUCUCCUAGUUGAUAAAACAUUUAGAAAGAAAAUAACAUAUUGAAGCAGUAGAUGGAGUUGCACCUUUAAUGAGAGUGAGAUUCUCCAGAAUCUCACACUCACUCCUACGAAACUAGCAUAAGCACAAUAACUAAACUAUAGUCCCACUAAUUAAUAUGGCUUAGUCCAAAUAACAAAUAUUUUACAGAAUCAAUAUAUGGAGCUGCAUCUUUAAUGAGAAUCAGGUUCACUAAAUCUCACACUUAUCCCUUCUUCAGUAACAACAGCUACAACCAAAGGAUUUAAGUUAUAUACAUUGACAGUGUAAUGAUCUUUUUACAAUAUCGUGUAAUUUAACAUGUUAUAGGAUGCUACUUACCAUUUCUUUUAGGCUAUCAAUCAAUAAUAUUAAAUAGAGCUAUUUGUAAUUCCUUUUAAAUGACCCGACCGAUUUUGUACACCGCCGGUGCAUAGAACAUAUAGCCUAUUUGGCCAAACUUCCAAAAUCUGCUUAUUUUGAAAAGUAUUUUUUUUUAGAAGUGUUUUUUGACAAGGUACUUUUAAAGAGUAGUAGUUUGUGUUUAGCUAAUCAAUUUGAAAAAUAUUUUUGUCAAUAUUCGAGAAGCAAUGUUUUGCUAGGCCAAGGUUCUAAAAGUGCUUCCGGAAAAAGCUACUUUCUUCAGCUUCUUAAAACAACUUCUGUUACUACUAAAGAAUACUUAAUUUUUUCCUAAAAGCUUGGUCAAUCAUCUCAACCCUCUAAAUUAAGCACUUCCUAAAAAAUGGAGUAAUAAAUAAGCACCUCCCAGAAGCUCGGUCAAACAGGCUAAUAAAGUCAAAAGUUAAUCCUAACAAAUAGAUAUUUGCUAAAAGCUAAAUUCCACACAAAAAUGAACGAAAUUUCGAAUCCACAGUCGUGGCAGUACCUUUAAUGAGAGUGGGAUCCAAUUCCCUAACCGGAAGAAUGAGAACCGUACGAGAGAGAUCGGAACCGGAGCCACCAGAAGCAAAUAAGGACGAGCCAGCGUGGUGAUUAAGAACAGCGAGCCGAGAACCGAAGGGGACACCGGAGAUAUCGUACUGAACAAGCCGGUAGACAUCAACGACGGUGACGGCGUCGGAGAGUUCAACAAAGGCGAUAACGGCGAUGAUUAAAGCAAUCACUGGGUAGUACAUCGGGUCUAUUACUACUGGUUUACUACGAGAAUUCGCCAUUGAAAGUGUGUGAGUGUGUGUUGUGUUAGGGUUUUGCAAAAUAUAAAUGUUGAUUUUGAAUCUAAUAUUAUUUUUUUUCUGGUUGGUUUCGAAUCUGAUUGAUCAGUAAAAUAAUGUUAAAAUAAUGUUUGACAGUUUGUAUAACUGUAAUGUAUUGUAGUUUCUUGCCUUUUUUUUUUUGGUUUCCCGCCCGGUGUUCGGUAUCCGCAUUGGAGCCCGACUAUAUCCGGAUUCGCGCCGGUUAGGCUCCAUUCAGGGGAAGUGCUCCCUACCAAGAAAUUUUUCAUAAUCAGGGCUCGAACUCGAGAACUCUGGUUAAGGGAGUAGCAGUCUCAUCCAGUGCACCACAUCCUUUUGGUGGUUUGUAGUUUCUUGCCUGGUUUGUAGUGACGACUAUAUCCGGAUUCGCGCCGCGUAGGCACCAUUUGGAGGAAGCGCUACCUACCAAGGAAUUUUCUAUACUCAGGGCUCGAACUUGAGAACUCUGAUUAAGGGAGUAACAGUCUCAUCCAGUGCACCACAUAGGUGGUUUAUAGUUUCUUGCCUGGUUUGCAGUGACGAAGGUGAAUGAUAAAGAUCUGUUUUUUAGGGAUUACGAUUAUAAUUAUAAUAUUAUAUUAUAAUAUUAUAAUUAUGGAGAGCUGAAUUGUGGUUAAAUUAAUUAAUUGGAUUUUUCUAAUUUAAUUUUGGAAAUGAAAAAAUGUGAUGUACAAAUUGAGAAAUUUAUAUAGAAAAUUUAAAUUUUAUCCUCUUUUAAGUUCAAAGAAACUUGAAGAGGAGAAAGAGUACAUUAAUACAACUUAUUGGAGACAAGUAUUAGUGUUAGGUUUUUUUAAAGUGUGAAUGGGAAAAUACACAUUUAGGAUUUCAGCUCUUUAUUUCAUCCUUUCCUGGUUUAUGAAUUUAGAGGUUUGACCUUAUUUUAUUGCAUUACUAGUAAAAAAAUUUGAGCUUCGCUCGGUUGUACUCAAAUAAUUUUAUAAAUAAUAUUUUUUGAAUUUAGUUGACAUAAUACAUAUAUAUAUAUAUAUAUAAAAUUUCAAUUAAAUUCAUAUAUGGAAACAUUGGAGAAGAGAGAUGCGAAAAAGUAUUUAGAGACUUCUAGAGAGAAAGAAAAAAGUAUCACGUUAAAUUAUCUUGCAUUUCAUUACGUCUAUAUAUUAUUUAUUUUUUAUUUAGACUCUUACAUUUUAAUGAAGAUAAAACUUUAAAUCAAUUGUUAGACCUGUAAUAAAAUUCUCAGUUUCAAUACAAGUUGGGGUUAAAUAUAUCAACAUAUUAGAUGAAUCACACUCAGAAAAAUACCUUGGGUAAUAGACGUAUAUAGAAAAUGAAAUGAAGAUAAUAAAGUUUUUCCUUGAAAUAGAGUACUCUGAAAUUCAAGUACAAAACAUAAGAUGUUAAUGACUUAAUAUUAUCAAUUAAUAGGCAAUUAUAGGGGAAGAAGAGAGGCUUGAAACGGUAAGAAUAAUAAGGUUUAAGGAAGUUAAACUUUUGGAGUUUUUAAACGGAAUUGUUUAAAGAGUACAAUAAAAGUGGGAAAUCAAAGAGACUCAAUCCAUUAUUGAGUUAAUUUACUUAAAUAAAAAUAAGAGAAAAAGGCAAAAAAAAUAAAAAAAAACAAAUAGGAUCCUUGGCUAAAGAGAGGCGUCAAGUCAUCUUGUCUAUUCCCACUUUUAUAUAUUAUAUAGAUUUUUCGAAAUAAACAUAAGUGUUAGGUGUGAUUUGCUACGUCAUUUGAUUUAUCCAAAGUUUUGUAAUUUGAAGUAUUGUUAUUAUAGAAUAGUUUUUCAUUUUAUCCUAGAAGAAAUUAAUCUAAAUACCUUGGGCAAUAGCGAGGGAAUUAAAUUUCGUAAGAACAUACAAAAAAAUUGUGGGCUCUGAAUUAUUUUAUAUUUUUUGUUUUGUGUUAAGUAACGUUUUUUUUUUUGGUUUUCUAUUUCACAAGCUUAAGGAAUUUAAUAUUUAUUUUCUGUGUUCGCCUUAAAAUGUGUUUCUUGGAGACUAAACGAGAAAGAAAAAUUAAAGUAUUUGAAAUUAUAAGGGAGCAUGUCCAUGAUCCGUCAAUUUUAAGGGACGAAAUCCUUCAUUGGAUUUUUGCCUUCUGAUUGGCAAUAUAAAAUAAUUGGCGUAUUCAAGAUUUGAAGUUUAUGAGUUUUCAUCUUAAUUUCAAAUUAAUAUGCAAUAAUAACUGGAUUCACAGUUAAAUAGUUACAAAUAUUUAGUUGAUUUCUUAAUAUAAAUACAGGAUUUGCGCAAGAGUUAUUGGGUUUCCGGAAACCAGGGGCGGAGCUAGAGUGCUCCAAGCGGGUUCGGUCGAACCCAGUAGUUUUGGUUCAAAUCAUGUAUUUGUCUCAAAAAAUUUAUUGAAUAUAUAUAAAUUAUUAAGUUAAAAUUCAAUAACUUAAGACGAUUAGAAUUUCAAACUCAUAAACGUGAAAUCAUGGCUCUGCCGCUGUCGAAAACCCAUAUUCAAUGCUCUAGGUCCGGCCGUGAUCAGUCAUCUCCUUGAAUUCAUGAAUUACUCUUCACAAAAAAGGAAGCUUUUUUGUUAUCUAUGUGAUUCCAUUCUAAUAGACAGUGGCAAUACGAGGGAGACGCCGGUUGUGACAGCAGCGGAGACAAGUUUAGUUUCAAUGGUUCAAGACUGUGAAUGAUAGGAUGGAAUUUGUAUCCAAAAUUUCGCUGGAACUACGUACAGUUUUGAAAUUUUGGAGAUAAUUAUAUGAUGGUGUUAUAUUAUUUUUUAAAAUAAAGAUAAAUGUGAAGUGUGAUUUGCUCAGCCAUUUGAGUUCAUCGAAGUUCUAUAAUUUGAAGUGCAACUAUCAUCAGUGGCAUACGCAGAAUUUUAUAUAAGUGAUGUUAUAAUUUGAACAGAUGAAUAAAUUACUAUAAAGACAAGCGGUAUCAUUUUCUAUUCAUAUUCCCAAUUUUUAUUUUUCUUAUAAAUAUUUAGUGAAAAACUUCGACCAAGCAGUGUCCCGUGACACCGCAUAGUAUAAGGUGCAUAUGCCCCUGGUUAUUACAGAAUAGUUUUCCGUUCUAUCAUGGGAGGAAUUAAUCUAAAUAUUCUGGACAAAAAUGAGAGGAUUAAAUAUAUUUUUGCAUUUUUUGUUACGUUUUUUGAUUUUAUGAUUUUCUGUUUAUAAACACGAUUAUUUUACUGACAAUUAGUUCCACUAACUCAUUUAAAUUUCGUCGAGGUUUGGUAAAUACCUGUCUUAGGAAGAACACUAGACACAUGAUUCAAGGCAGAUUUAGAAUGGAUUUUUUGAGUAUUAUGAAAAUUAUUGUUUAAUGACUCGAGCAAUAUAUAAAAAUAUAAAAAGUUCAAACUCAUUCUGAAAACUCUAUAUCCAAGAUUUGCCUCUUGCACGUCGAAUAAGGUUGGUAAGGAUGAGUCUUUUAGCAGCAUUUGUCGUUGAAUUAACUUCAAUGAAACUUUAGCUAUUUCUUUCUCAUCACAGGUGAUCACGAUCCAAUUCUAAUCCUAAAAAGAAUAAGUGUUCGCUACAAAUAUAUAUUUGUCUAAAAUUUUGGAGUCGAAUUCCACAAAGAAUUAAGGUUUCACUGUAACUGUUCAAUAUCACUAAGAAGAUAAGCUCGAACAAUUUUUAAGUUAUCAAUAUUAAGAUUCUUAUGUCUAACUAAUUAUUAAUAAAUUAAAGUACUAAAUUAAUAACUAUGGAUACUAAGGGCUGGAGACGAGAUUGGAAAAGUCUAGAGUUAUGUUUUCCCCAAUUGUCGGAAUCCUUCCCGCUACGUUUCCUACAAUUUUGCCUAAGUAUUCUCUAUUGACACUCGACUUAUCGUAAUUUUCUCACGAGACCAUAAUGUACUGGUCAUAUUCUCUCGAAUUACGCUAGCCAUCACUUUUUCAUCGCUCACUUUGAUCAUGUCAAAGCUUCAUUAUCUAUAAUCCCGCUUUUAAACUCACCGUAUUGAUCUCUCAUAUACCUUGGGAGUGACGUUGUUCAGUAACAACCUAAAUAUGCAUUCUUUCUCACGCAAUACAUAAUAAAUAGGCAUAGUCAGUUGAUGGUCAUUCAAUCAACAGUAAUAAACACGUAGUUGAACAAGUAGGAAUAUCCAAAAGCAAAAUUAUAUUAAAACGUAACAAGAAUUCAUCCUCCAAACGGUUCCAUCAAACCCUAGACUAGAGUGUUUAGCUACUUAUAAUUGUAUAAAUAAUUAUAGUAAUAUUCAAAAACAUUAAACUACAGAUUAAAGAAGAACGGAGAGAAAGACUCUUGUGAUUCGUGCUCCAGUGUGUUCCAUAGUCUUUUGCCUCUCCAAUAAUGUUUCCCUCCCUCUAAAAACUAAGUUUUGGAGGUAUUUAUAAGGCAGGGUUGAGGUCUACACGUCCAAACGUAAUGAGGAAAUAAAGUGGCUCGAAUAAGCAUCGUCAGCGCGGGGCACUGUCAGAGGCACCAACAUUACUCCACGAGGCACCAUACGAGGCGCCAAUAUUUCCCCGCGAGGCGCUAACAAGGCGCCAAUGACAAUGCCCUGGACAAAGCCUUGCACUGUCUACGACCGUGACUUUUCAUUGCCUUGCACGUCUUCUUUUAUUGUUCCAUUUUGUAGCUUUGAGGUACCAUUUCAUGUAACUUUUCUCCAGUUCAUGUCCAAGCAUUCCUGCACAUAAAAUAAACUCUAUUAAACUUAAUUGUCGUACAAAUUAGCAUCCGAACAAAAAAAUAAGUACGGUAAAUAACGUUAAAAUAUAUGAAAUUAUAGUACGACAUUAACAAGCUCAUAAAAGUUAGUAGUGAAAAUCAAAUGAUUACCUAUUCUAUAGUAACCAAUUGAACCCAAUCAACAAGGGUUAGACCUAAGAAGAAGUACCAUUUGACUAUCCAAAAAUGAUAGUCAAAUGGUUUCCAAAAACAUGGUAAGGCUAAACCUAGGUCAACUAUGCAAUAGAGGUGGAAGGACUCUUUUCAUUUAUAAUUGGCCCUACAACUAUAAUAAAUGAGAACUCUCCCUAUGUAAAGUGACAAAAAUACAAAUAUACAACAGGGUAGAGGGUAUGAGUGUUGAGUUUCUUUUUAAUAUAGAAAGGGGAAAAUGGAGGGAAAUAAAAAAUUUGAGUAAAAUUUUAAGUUUUACUCUCAUUUUAAUGAGACAUUGUCCCUCAUUGGUAGAGGAAAAGGAGUUUGGUGGGUUUAUAUACAAAUGCACUUCAUGUAGCUCUUAAAGAGUUAGGAAGAAGGCAAGCCUCGCCUCGUCGUCGUCGCUCGGCUUCGGUCAAUUGAUUGAUUAAUCUUUUGGACCAAAUUUAUUUGUUAAUAGUAGAUAUUAACGUAAUAUUAUCCGUGUUUAUAACGGAUAUGUUCCAAUCCGUGUAUUGUACCACCAGUUGCAAUAGUAGCCGCCUAGUGCUCCUCCCACCAUGGCUAAGUGUUUGCUCCAUAACAAGCUAGUGCAUGCUCCACCAUGGAGGGGGGGCGGGUCUCACAACUGACUGCUAUAAAUAUGAGCAACAACAGUUGGAGAAUGACACACCAAAAACAGAAUUGAGAGCUAUUGAUCUUCUCUUCACCGAAAACUCAACGUUGGCUAUAAUUUNNNNNNNNNNNNNNNNNGAAUUCAAUGGCUCGAAUUAAUUUCUGUUUCAUUUAUAUUUACGUUUAUAAGCUAUCGUUCUAAUUUUUCAGUCAUUAUUUACAAAUACAGGUUUACCAACAAUGAGAAAUACAACAUGACUAUCUUCAUGGUAGCUUUGACAACAAUGGUGAAAAGCCAAUAUGAAGAUAGCAUUGAUGUUUGGCCAGAUGUGUGCAAAAGUAACAUUACAAUUUCGGGAUAUUACUCCCGGAAUUAGUUAUAUCGCGAUUUUUUCCCAACCAAACAUAAGAUAAAUUCAUCUCAAAUUUAAUUUCGAAAUUAAUUAUCUGUUAUCUCUCGUACCAAACGAGCCCUUAAUUCUCAACUUGCAACUUUUUAGUCUAUUUAACUAGCUAGCUUCCUAAUCAUUAUCUGUGAUAUCUCUCUCCAAACAAUACAAUCUAUCUUCGACUGUAGCAGACAACUGCUACAUUUGUAAAACAAUAAUAAAAUAAAAAUAAAAAAUCACACCAGUUUAUCCAUGAAAUCGAAAGAAUUCAUAAGCUCAUUUUAAUUUUAAAAAGGAAUAAAAUAGUUUCACAAGAACAAAACAGAUAGGAAUAAGCUAUUCUGUUCUAGAAACUUUUGUACCUAUAUCGGCUUGAGCAACCAAAAUAUUAAUACUAAUUAAGGAAGAUAUUUCGUUAAGAUUGGCUACACUUUGCUAAUCAUAUCCCCAAGUACUUUCGCUAGCGUUUGAACGUAGAUUUGGUUGAAACUUAAAAAAGAGUUUUUGAAGUUGUGUUGAAAAUAAUUUUUAAAAGUUGAAGUUGUGUUUGGACAUGCAUUUUAUUAGAAAAAAAGUUAAAGUUUAUGAUUGAAAUGCAGUUUUUGGGAACUUGAAAAAAAAUUCAAAUUUUUUUUUCAAAAACUGAUCAUAUUCCAUGAAUAAAUGAUGUUUCAAUUUUUUUUUUAAGAAGUACCCAAAAUCUAUGGCCAAACGCAGAGCUUCAAACAACUGGCCAUGGAAGCAAAUUUGGAAAGGUGUGUCAUCGUACAAGCUAAGACGCUUCUCGUUACUUUUAAAAAAGAAAAGGCAAAAUACAAAAAUAGAUUUUUAAAGUUGGCCUCGGAUGUAUAUUUCAUACUCCAACUUACUCAAUAAUCAAAUAGACACUUCAAUUUCGCACAGGUGUAUCUCGUGGACACUCCCGUCUGGUAAGCUUAGAGUGUGAGUUACAAUCGCAUAUAACAUGAAAUAAUGACAAAUAAACACUUGACACGUAUAACUUUUAUAAAAAAGAAAAAUAAAAACAUUAGAAAAUCCUCUCUACCAUCUCCUUCACCGCCCACCCUCUUUCUCCUUCUCCAUAAAUUUUCCACCAAAUCCCUCAUUUUCUAUUCAAUUUCACUUGUGUUUUUUUUAGAAAAUUCAUCAUCUCUAUUCAAUUUAAUUUCUAUUAUUUUUAGAAAAUUCAUCAUUUGCUUCAAUAAUUCAUCGGAAUAUUUCAUCGUCAUCUAAUUACUCGUCGCCAUUCUCGUUUCCAUUUCCACCACAUAACGAAAAUCGGUGGUGGUGACGAUUCUAACAACACGGUGGAGAAUUCCACAGCGCUUGCACUUGCAAACUAGGGUUAAGGCCCGAUCCAGAUUCAUAUAAAAAUUGGAAAUGAUUCAAUCGGUUGCGUGUCCAAUUUGAUCUAAUAUUAGAAUCAAAAACAAUAAUGCUUCUUCUAUUCGAUUAUCCUCUAUUUCCAUGGUUGCCAUAAAAAUCAUAAUACAAUUUAAUUUUAUGGUUAUUGAAUGGUAUAUUUGGUGACGUGUUGUUUUUGUUGGGGUGAUAGCGCGAGGAUGGUGAUGAGUUUGUGAUGGCGGCGAAAGAGUGGUGGGGACUAUACCUUGAUUGGAGAUAAAGAAAGUGAGCCCCACAUGAAAAAAAUAAAACAAAAAUAUAAUUUUAAGAAAUUUUACACACCCGAAGUUGUAUGAAAAUGAAACAUUUUGCCAUGUCAGCUCGGGAUGCCCACGAGACAUACAGUAAAAAUAGCACGGUUUAGUCAGUUUUCGGACUGGUCAUUUAAAAAUUGCCAGCGUUUGCUAAGUCAUUGAAAAAUAACCUCUAUUUUGCUGCAAUAGAGACCGGUCCAGCAUAAUAUACUGGAGUUCGGUGCACCUGUGUAUGAACUUCCAGCAUAUUAUGUUGGACCGAUAUAUUUUGCUGGCUCCAGUAUAUUAUGCUGGACAAGUAUAUUAUACUGGAACUCCAGUAUAUUAUGCUGAAGUAUUUUUCCGGAUUCUGAACAGUGUUUUCGUUCAGAUUUAUCUUUACAUGAAAAGUGGCUAAAAUUCGAUUACUUUUGAAACCGUGGCCAUUUGAAUGGCUACUUAUAAAUCUGGCUAUUUUUGAAUUUCUCCCGACAUACAUGUGCCAAGUUGAAAUGUCUACUUGAUUAUUGAGUAAGUUGGAGUCUGAGGCCAGUUUAAGUGUCUCUUUAUAUAUAUUAUCAACUCUAUUUGCGAAAAAUACGGAAAUGAUAACCUUAAAAUUAUUGAGGCCUCUUCUUUGUUAAUAACAACUAAAAGAAAAGCUGGAAAUUUUCAAGUUUCAAGUGGAAAGAGUGUACAAUUUAAACAUACGAACAUUGAUAAUACAUGUGUUGCACACCAAUUAAUGUAUUGCACACCAAUUUAAUGUUUUUAUUAGAUAAUACAUGUGUUAUUAUCUUAUAAGUAACCUGAUAGUAUAUUUUUUAUUACCACAGUCAAUGCAUAAGACUUAAUUUCGAUAUCUUUAUAGAAGAAUUAAUCCAAAUAAUCGCUUAUCCAAUCGCUUAAAUUAAAAAUAGUUGCUAGAGUCAUAAUAUAUGUAUUAUAUGUAUAUAAUCGUGUAUAAUCAAUGUAUACAAUAACAACAACAUGCAAGUAUUAUCGCACACCGUGGGGUUUGGGGAGGGUAGUGUGUACGUAAACCUUACUCCUACCAUGUUAGGAUAAAGAGGUUGUUUCAAUAGACCUUCGGCUCAGGAAAGCAUAAGCACAUCAUUAAUGAAAAUAUAGACAAGAAGAGACAACACCAAAAAGCCAUAUAAAAGCAGAAUUAAAACUACAAGACAGUAAUAUGAUCAAUAAUGAAAGAAAACAACGGUUAAAUAUGACCGAUUAUUUAUAUAAUCAAUGUAUAUGUUUAAAAAAAAUAAACAAUAAAUAUGACCGGCUAUUUACGUAAACGCGAAUUGUUCUUGUUCUUUUCCAGUAGAAGGAAGUCAGCAGAAUCAAAUCUAUCAAAAUCUAUAAAAAUCCACAUGUCAACCAGUCAUUGAUCAAUAACCCAUCCACAAAAUCUACAGAUGUCACAAUCUUUAUAGUCCACCACAUAUUUUCCUAAAUGAAUCUUUAUUCUCUCCACUAUUAAUUUUCAUCCACUAGUCACCUCUUCAAAGGCCAAAAUCCAAGUUCAGAAAACAAAGCAAAAACAAGAAAAGGUUAGAAAAUUAAGAAAGAUGGCAGCAAGAAUGGCUACUACAUCAACUGUUGUUGGUUUGGUUAGUUCCUCUCUUUCAUCUUCAAAAAAGACAUCCCUUAACUCAGGUAAUUUAAUUUUUUAUUUUCUUCUCUAAAAAAAAAUUUUUAUUUUUGAUUUUAUGGCAAUUUUCCACAUUAUCAUAAUGACUUUCUUUUCUCUAUUUGCUUUCUAACUUAUUGUGCAUUUUCAAAAGGAUUUUUCAUGAGUAAUACCAUCAGGAGCGGACGUAGCCUCUUGGUUAUAGGUUCAACUAAACCCAUAAAUUUCGACACAAAGCAUGAAUUUAUAUGUAGAAACUUACUAAAUUCUAAUAAAUAUUAGAUUUGAACCCAUAAUUUUAACAGUACAAUAAGUGCAAUACUAAAAUUUUAAAAGCUGAACCCAUUAAAUUUGAAUCCUGAAUCCGCCUCUGAAUACCACUCAGAGGCUGAUCCAAUCUUAUAGUUACGGGUUCGACAGAACCUGAUAGUUUUGAUUCAAACGUUACAUUUGUGUUAAAUUUUUUAUUAAAUAUGUAUAAAUAAUAUAUUUAAAACCGAAUAAGUAAAAAAUAUUAUGGUACACAACCUGUAAACUAAAAAUCCUAGCUCGGCUUAACUCACGUACAUUCCGUCACAUUUCCAAUUUUAAGUUAGUGAGUGCAAAAUAUUAUUAAAUUCUCUAGUUUGACAAUUAGUAUGGAUUUAACAUUAAAGUCAUUUUUAAUUUUUUAAUUUUAUAUAGUAUAUAUUAAUUCUUAAAUGCCUAUACAACUUUGCCGAAUGCUACAUCCUGUAACUGUAGUAAUAGAGGAAAAUUUCUAUUGACUAUUUAUUAUAGGAAUAAUAGUCCUUUUUAUUAGGUGGAUUAUUGUAAUAAAAUAUUAUUUUCACUUUUCCACUAAUUCCAUUUUUCUUCACAGGCUUCUUAAAAUCACCAGUGACAGCAAGAAACCCUCUAAGGAUCGCCCAAGCUUCAGGAGGCAAAUUUACAUGGUAAAUUACCAGAUAAAAAUCUAUUUAAUUACAGUGGGGUUGCUUACACAGUUUUUAUUUUUAUUUUUAUUUUUGAGUUUAACUUUUAUAGUCAGUGUAGAAUUUUCUUUUACAUGAUCAAAUUACCUAAGGUAACUACUGAUUAAUGCUCGUAAUAAAUGAAAUUAGUAACCUGUAAUCAGUGGCAAAGGUACCUUUAGUGAGGCGGCUUCAGUUGAAUUCCAUUCGUCGAAAAAUUAUAGUGUGCUAAAAGGGUAAAAUCUUUGUUUCGAGUUGGUAUACGGAUGGACCAACUCUUCUGGUCCUAAUAUUGAAUAUGAAAGAUUGAUAGCUUCACCUUCUUCUUAAUCUUAUUGGUUUUAUAACUAGUGGCGUACACGAAAUUUUUCAUAAGCAGUGUCACAAUUUGAAGAAAUAAAUAAAUAAAUUACUGUAGUUUUAAGUAGUUUCAUUUCUAUAUUUAUUCCCAAUAUUUUAAAUUUUCUUUUAUAUAUUUACUAAAAAAGUUCGACGAAGCAGUGUCUCGUAACACCGCAUAGGACAAGGUAUAUAUGCCCCUGCUUACCACGGACACAAGAGCACAGAACUCUCAACUCCCGAAUCCCCCAGGGUGAAGGGUGAACCUUUUAUGUGAUUCAAUCUCAUCUAUUGCUGCUUUCGAAUCGAUUAAAAAAAUAAAUAUUUAUAUAUAUAUAAAAAAAAAAUUGAAUUUUCUUUAUAUAAAGGAUAUUUCUAGUUUCUAGUGUAAUGGUAAUGGUGCUUCAAAAAUUAUUGUGGAAUAUCUUAUUUGAAUUUUUGACUAUGCCACAAAUUAAAUUAUAGUAUUAACAUAAAAAUUCUGAAGGGGAGCCUUGGCAUAACUGGUAAAAUUGCUGUCAUGUGACCAGAAGGUCGUGAAAAUAGCCUCUUGCAGAAAUGCAGGAUAAGGCUGCUUACGAUAGGCCUUUGUGGUCCGGCCGCGCAUAGCGGGAGCUUAGUGCACCGGGCUGCUCUAACAUAAAAAUUCUAUACAAUAUCAACUUAUGUAAGUUAAUUUUUUCUUUUAGUCAUAAUUCAUUUGUAAUUUUGCAAUGUGUAAUUUGAAGCUUUGAGAGAGAUUGGCUGAGGAGAGAUUUGAAUGUGAUUGGAUUAUUGUGGAAUAUCUUAUUUGAGUUUUUGACUAUGCCACAAAUUAAAUUAUAGUAGUAAUAUAAAAAUUCUGAAGGGAAGCCUUGACGUAAGUGGUAAAGUUGCUGCCAUGUGACCAGGAGGUCACAUGUUCGAGCCGUGGAACAAUCUCUUGCAGAAAUGCAGGGUAAGGCUGCGUACGCUAGACCCUUAUGAUCCGACGGGAGCUUAAUAUACCGGGUUGUCCUCACAUAAAAAUUCUAUAUUAGCUUAUGUAAGUUAAUUUUUUCUUUUAGCCAUAAUUCAUUUGUAAUUUUGUACUGUGUAAUUUGAAGCUUUGAGAGAGAUUGGCUGAGGAGAGAUUUGAAUGUGAUUGGAUUUGGUCUAAUUGGAUGGCUGGCACCUUCAAGCAUUCCAGCAAUUAAUGGCAAAAGUUUAAGUGGUCUAUUUUUUGAGAGCAUUGGCACUGAGCUCUCUCAUUUCCCUACUGGCCCUGGUGUCACUUCUCAAUUCUGGUAAUUCCACCAUAAUUACUCUUUUUGUUUUACGCCCUCCUGGAAACAGCCUCUCUACCCUUCGGGGUAGGAGUAAAGUCUGCGUACAUAUUAUCCUCCCCAGACCCCACUUGUGGGAUUAUACUGGGUCGUUGUUGUUGUUGUUGCCCUCCGAUUAUUUUAUAUGAUGCAUUUUUACUGGUACGGAGUUUAAAACGAGUCAUAUAUAUUUUUGUGACUAUAAAAUAUCUCAUUAAAAAAAUUAAAGUUAAAUUAUUUUAAAUAAGAAAAAAAUUUAGUAUUUUUUUUAGACAGAUUAAAAGGCAAAAGUGCAUCGCAUAAAUUGGAACAAAUGGAGUAAUUGAAUACAUAUGUAAUACAGUAUUUACGGACUAAGAUUUACAAAAAAAGAAAAUGUCUAAAUUGGUCACCAAAUUAUUGAUUUUUGCUCGAUUUUGUUACUCUUUGCAUCCUCAAUUUAUCUGCCGUUAUUUGACUUGGUACGGAGUUUAAGAAAGAAAGUACUUCCUCCGUUCCAAUUUAUGUAAACCUGUUUGAUUGGACACGGAAUUUAAGAAAAAAUGAAUACUUUUGGAAUUUGUGGUCCUAAACAAGUCAAAAAGGGCUCCAGAAUAUUUGUGUGGUUAUAAAAAUUUCUCAUUAAGAGUAGAAUUGUAAGUUUAAGCUAAAUUGUUUCCAAAUUUAGAAAGGGGUUAUUCUUUUUGGAACGAACCAAAAAAGAAAUAGGUUCACGUAAACCGGAACGGAGGGAGUUAUACUUUUAACAUUUAUGAUUUAAAAUAAGCUUUACAUAAUUAUGUGACCACAAAUUAUUUCAUUAAAGAAAAUAGAAGUAUACAGUAUGCAACUCAAUAGUAUAUGUUGUUUAGUGGAAAACCAAUUUUCACAAAUCUUAUAGUCUAGUAGUAAUGGUUAAAGUCUCAUAAAUAUGAAAAUUCAAUUCUCAUUGUCCCCCUUUCCCCUUGUGUGAUCUGCCCUAUGUUAUAGAAGAAAAAUUUAAAAAUAAUAAUUCAAAAUCUUUUUUUUUUUAAUUAGAAACUCACAAUGUUAUAUGAAUUUUAGUGCAUUUGGCCUAUUUUUUGCAACAAAAAAACAUGAAAAUAAUCAAGUGGACCAAUUCGAAAAGAAUAAUUAGGGUUUUCUAUAGUAUUUAUGGACAAAAUACUUUGUUACAGAUCAAUUCUUAGUUUUCUCUAAAUUUAGAUAUUUGCAUUAUUGUCUUAAUUACAGGCUAUGGAUGGUCUGUUGGCACUUGGGUUUGUUCCUCUGCCUCACUUUUGGGCAAAUUGGAUUCAAAGGAAGGACUGAGAAAUACUUUUAAAUGGAAUUUUUUUCUGAUAAUUAUAUUGUGUAUAAUGAAGAAUCUAUUAAUGUCUUAACUCUCCUUCUUUCUCAAUUUUCAGAAUAUUAUGGGAGACAAAUCCCUUCUACUUUCUGUACUUUUAUUUACGGUUUUGUUUUUUUACCAGUGAUAGGAUAUAAAUAGAAAAAGCAGGAAAAAAAAAACAAAAAAAAAACAGUAAAUGAGAUAAAUAAAGCAAUUGAAUUGUGGAUUCUAAAAAUGUCAACCUUUGUUUUUCGGAUGAAAAAGCUCGUCGAUCCAAAUGAAUCAUUUUUCUGAUCUCUCUUCGCUCCCCACCCUGAAACUGACCUACGACACAACGCCUAUUCACUUCGAGCACGGGAAGGCAAUGAAGUUCAGUUCAUGAAACUACAGCGCAGCAGAGUGGAGCAGCCGCGACACGAAGUUCCUCACCUUAGUUGGAUCUCACUAGUGCCACCUAAACGGUAGGUAGGCAACAACUACGACAAAUGACACAACAUAAAUUGAAGAUGAAUCGUAAUUCGUAUAUAAUGCCGUAGUCAAGAAUAGUUCAACAGAUUUGGUGGCCUAAAGUCAAAAUAUGUUAAAAGGCCCGUAAACUUGUUUUUCAUAAAAUUUAUAGAAUAAUGAGAUACAACAGAAACCUACAUGAAUUGGUCUAAUGAUAAAAGUACCGCGCAUGAUGUGUGGAUUAGAUACAUGUAUUUUAAAAAAGCGUGAGCGCGUAAGGCGAAGUGUUUUAUAUAUAUCUCAGCGAGGCGUGAGCUCCGAGGUACGGGGUGUAAGUCCCAUAGGCAUUUAAUUUUUAAUAUUUUAUAAAGAAUAUAAUUACAAUAAAUAUUUAUAAGCAGGUACAACAACAACAACAACAUACCUAGUAUAAUCCCAUAAGUGGGGUAUGGGGGAGGCUACUGUGUACACAGACUUUACCUUACCUGGCGAGGUAAAGAGACUGUUUUCGAUAGACCCUCGGCUCAGAAAAAAGUGAAAAAGAGAAAGGAAGAAGACGACGAAGAUAGAAAGAAUAAGGGGACAAAGAAAAAGACACCACCACCACCACCAACAACAACUACAACAAUGAAAUAACAUGUAAAAGAUAAAAUAACGUCAAAUAGUAACAAAAUGGAAAAUACGAUACCCAGAGCGAACGAAACAAUAAGCAAAUACUAGGGGUCAAAGAAUACGAAAAAAUUAGCGAGCUACUAAUACUACUAAAAAAGAACGGGAAACCCUCGACUACCUACUAGCCAACUACCCUAAUCUUUGACCUCCACAGCCUUCUAUUAUGGGUCAAAUCCUCACUGAGUUGAAGUAGCGUCAUAUCCUGCCUAAUCACCUCUCCCCAAUACUUCUUCGGCCUUCCUCUACCCCUUCGCAGCCCCGCCACAACCAGCCUCUCACACCUCCUAAUAGGAGCAUCCGUACUCCUCCUAUGUAUGUGCCGAACUAUCUCAACCUCAACUCCCGCAUCUUGUCCUCCACGGGGGCCACUCCCACAAUUUUUUUUUUUAUAUAUAGUUGUGCUCCAUCCCCACAAAAAACUAGUCAAAACAAUAUAUUAUAUGCUACUUAAAAGCACAAGUAACUUGAGUCGAAAAGAAUAAAGUUUUCUAUAUGGAAGAACAAAAAUGAUGACUAAUCUGUAAUUUGAACGUUAAACUUGUUGCUAUGAAAGAGAAUGGAGUUCUCUUUGUAUUUGUAAUUUUUUUUGAAUAUUUGUUGCUUUUAGGAGAUAUUAGCAGACUAACGGAUAAGAUAAAAAAUUGAAAAAGCCAAUGAUUUAGGGCUUCAAUCAACAAAAAAGGUCUUGACUUUUAAGUUUACAACAUUUCAAUUCCUUUUUAAAACUUUUGAGUAAUGACCAAGCUGACUUUUGAGAAAUUGGGUAUUAUAUGAAGGACUUAUUCAACAAAUUUUGUUUUAAUUUGAAAAAGUCUCUAGGACUUACACCUCAAACGCUCGGGUGUACGCCCCGAAUUGCUGGGCGUAUGCCUCUUGAAGCUUUCGCCUCACACUAUCGCCUCAGGGCGUUUACGGCGCGCCUUGUCCCAGGGCUUGCCCCGAAAACGCCUUUUAAAACACUGUUUUGAACUAUAUCAAAAACUAUAAAGACACAAAAAAAACUUAUUGCCUGAAGUAUGAAUCAAUCAAAUAUGAUAAAAAGAAAUAGUCAAUUUAGAGAAAUUGAGAUGAAAUUAGAAAGUGUAAUUGUUAGAAAACUGAACAAAAAUAAGUGAACAUAAAGGAAGAAAAAUUAGAAGUAAAUAUACUACAUUUAAUUGAACGAGGGAAAAAAAAUUAUCGUCAUUUAUCCACUCAAUCAUAAACCUCAAUUAAAUUUUAAAUAGUACUAGUCUCUAUGUCACAUGUCUCGCUCAUGUAGCACCUAAACUAUUGCAAAUACUAGAUAGAAAAAAUAUUACUAUGAGAAAUAUUUUCAUGAUAAGAUAUUUCAUUAAGUUUCCUAUAAAAUUACUAUAUUGUGUAGUAAGAUUGUAAUAACAAUUUCUUACGUGUAUAUCAGUUGUGUUUAUAUAAAUAUUAGAAGUGUUAAUGUGGAGAUGGAAGUACUUCGAAGAGCAAUGUAGGAAAAAUAAUUAAUUCGUUCAUAAAAUCUAAAAAAAUCACUUAUUUUGAAUCACAAAAAAAAAUUAUUUAUUGUGGACCGGGAGAGUAUAUUGCGUCAAGAAAGUGGACCCAAAGUGUUAAAUUACAACGUGUUUCUUCUGGCGAUAAAUAAUGAAAAAACAAAUUGGUUUAGAAAAAAAUACUAAAUAUAAAAUUUAAUUCAACAGGAAUGAUAUUUUCAAGAAUUAAUUACUAAUUUGUGUAAGCACGUAAUUUUUGACCCGCACAAAUUUUAAAGUUAGUUUUAGUAUUUUAAUAUUUUUAAAAUAUUUACUUGACUUUAUUUUAAUAUAAUUUUAAUCUUUUUACUUUUAGUCCUAAGACAUAAANNNNNNNNNNNNNNNNNNNNNNNNNGAUUUAAUCAUAGCCAUCUAUUUCCUUCUAAUCCAAUGGUCAUCAUGUCUUCCCACCUUCAUAUAAAAUACCCAAUUAUAGAAACCCUAUCCUUAUCUUCCAUCUUUAACCACAAAAACAACACAACCGAGAACCACCGAAAAUUCCCCUCGAUCGGCCCUCUUCUGCUUCAGACCCAAAGAGCCUCAGCUCGCCGGAACCCCCGAUUUCAAGACCAAACCGCCACACCACCUUCCCCUAUUAAACUCCAAUUUCGCAAUUAAAAAAACUUCUAUUUCUAGUUCUACACCUUUCGAAUCCUUUAACUCAUAGAAGCUCAGAUUGUUGAACUAAUUUUGGCCACAAAUGAGUUGGAUUGGGGAGCUCAACAAUGAGCUCGUUCGUUGAGGUUGCCGUUCGUUCAACACUAUUCAAAUCGAUUGGAAGCAAUGGACUAUUAUGUUCGAAUUCUAGUUGUCGUUCGUUCAAUUUGGUUGCCGCUACUGCUAUUCGUUUCUUUUGGAUCAUUUUGAGUUUAUGUUUAUUUCUUUUUUUGCUGCAAAAAUUACGGAGUUCGACUGAGGUUAAGCUGAGUUCGAGUUCGCCGGCGAGUUUCAGUCCGUUGGCCUUGGUCGAGUUUUCUUAUUCCCGGUUCAGUUUGGAUUCAAUCUAAUUUCUCAGAAGAAAAUUACCAUUAAAGGUCUAAUCUUUUUUUCCUCGUGCAUUUUUAUGUUAUAACUUUGAUGCAGAUUGCUUGACUUUGCAAACUAGUUUUGUGGCUUAAUUUAUAUGUUUAUAUUUUCUUGGCAGAAUAGUUAUUGUGCUUUGGAGUCACUUUAAUUGAGAAUAUAAUAAACGAAUUGAAUUUGGGUUAUGGGUUUAGUUAAAAGUUGAAAUUAAAGACGACACUAUUUUGAAGGCAUGAAAGUGAUUUGAACUUAAGAAUGCUUUGAUUAAUUCUCUUGUUUGAUUUUAUUCUAUUAAUGGACGUGAGAUCGGGAUUUAAAGGAGCAGAAUUGAAAUUUGAAUAUUACAUGUUGGCUACUUUAUUACUUCGAUCGCUAGGAGCAUGUUUAGGCCGACAACAU
rnacentral:lncRNA from 1 species